rnacentral:RNase_P_RNA from 1 species
CGAGCACGCCGGGCGGCCGCGGGCGGCGGAUUCGCCGCUUGAGGAAAGUCCGGGCUCCGCAGGGCAAGGGUGCCAGCUAACGGCUGGUCGGGGCAACCCGAAGGAAAGUGCCACAGAAACAAACCGCCGCACGCGGCAACGUGUGUGGUAAGGGUGAAAUGGUGCGGUAAGAGCGCACCGGCGACACUGGAAGGUGCCGGCCGGGCAAACCCCACCCGGAGCAAGACAGUUGGGAUCGCCGGCAACGGCGCGGGCUGCCCGUCCGAGUCCCACAGCACGUCGCACGAGGCGCCCGGUGACGGGCGCACAAGAGAGAUGGUCGCCGCCGCUUCAGGCGGUACAGAACCCGGCUUACAGGCGUGGCUCGGCAG